UACGUAGGGUGCAAGCGUUGUUCGGAUUCAUUGGGCGUAAAGGGUGCGUAGGUGGCGCGGUAAGUCGGGUGUGAAAUCUCGGAGCUUAACUCCGAAAUGCAUUCGAUACUGCCGUGCUUGAGGACUGGAGAGGAGACUGGAAUUUACGGUGUAGCGGUGAAAUGCGUAGAUAUCGUAAGGAAGACCAGUGGCGAAGGCGGGUCUCUGGACAGUUCCUGACGCUGAGGCACGAAGGCCAGGGGAGCAAACGGG
rnacentral:rRNA from 1 species